ACAGAUCGUUCAGAGUUUGAUCCUGGCUCAGGACGAACGCUGGCGGCGUGCCUAACACAUGCAAGUCGAGCGAGGGGAAAGGCUUCGGCCUGGAACCUAGCGGCGGACGGGUGAGUAACGCGUGAGGAACCUGUCCCAAACAGGGGGAUACCAGAUGGAAACAUCUGCUAAUACCGCAUAAGACCACAGAGCCACAUGGUUCAGGGGUCAAAGGAGCAAUCCGGUUUGGGGUGGCCUCGCGUCCGAUUAGCUAGUUGGUGAGGUAAUGGCCCACCAAGGCGACGAUCGGUAGCCGACCUGAGAGGGUGAUCGGCCACAUUGGAACUGAGACACGGUCCAA
rnacentral:rRNA from 1 species